CGGCCCGGGAACCCGAAGGGGCACCUGCUGGGCUGCUCUUGCGCCGGGGCGCCCCACCACUGCCAAACAUAUGCUAAGUGCUUUAUAGACACAUGAAGACAAGAUCCCCCCGUGAAAAGCUGCUAAUCUAGACAAUGUACAAAUAUGGCCAAGGGAAGAAUAAGAUGCGACAACAGUACAAAGCCAGGAGGGAGAGCAUGGCGGUACAUACAGUUGUCUCCUCCACCAGGACAAACCCAAAACCAGCCAUA